rnacentral:rRNA from 1 species
UUUAUUUGAGAGUUUGAUCCUGGCUCAGGAUGAACGCUGGCGGCGUGCUUAACACAUGCAAGUCGAGCGAAGCGCUUAAGAAAGAUUCUUCGGAUGAUUUCUUAAGUGACUGAGCGGCGGACGGGUGAGUAACGCGUGGGUAACCUGCCUCAUACAGGGGGAUAACAGUUAGAAAUGACUGCUAAUACCGCAUAAGCGCACAGUGCUGCAUGGCACAGUGUGAAAAACUCCGGUGGUAUGAGAUGGACCCGCGUUGGAUUAGGCAGUUGGCGGGGUAACGGCCCACCAAACCGACGAUCCAUAGCCGGCCUGAGAGGGUGAACGGCCACAUUGGGACUGAGACACGGCCCAAACUCC